GCUUCACCGCCUACCAACCCCUGAUGAACUCCGAAUGCCGUAAUAUUGCACCAGCAGUGAGGCUACGGGUGCGAAGGUCCGUGGCCAAGAGGGGAACAACCCAGACCAUCAGCUAAGGUCCCUAAAUUUGAGCUAAGUUGGAUAAACGAGGUGGGGAUGCUAUGACAGCUAGGAUGUUUGCUUGGAAGCAGCAAUUCAUUUAAAGAGUGCGUAACAGCUCACUAGUCGAGCGUUCCUGCGCGGAAAAUGAACGGGCAUCAAGCUCAAUACCGAAGCUAUGGACUCUACGGAGUGGUAGGGGAGCAUUCCAGUUGCGGCGAAGGUCAAGCGCGAGCUUGGGUGGAGCGGCUGGAAAAGAAAAUGUAGGAAUGAGUAACGAAAAAAUGGUGAGAUACCCAUUCGCCGUAAGACUAAGGGUUCCUCGUUCGAUGUUAAUCAGAACAGGGUUAGCCGGGUCCUAAGGAGCAGCCGAGAGGCGAAUCUGAUGGCAAUCUAGGU
rnacentral:rRNA from 1 species